AGUCACUGCUAUUGGGGUUCGGCUAAGCCAUGCGAGCGGAGGGCGCGGUCGCAAGAUCGUGGCCCCGCACACGGCUCAGUAACACGUAGUCAACCUACCCUUGGGACGGGGACAACGCCGGGAAACUGGCGAUAAUCCCCGAUAGGUGAGGGAUGCUGGGAUGCUUCUUCGCUCAAAGCUCCGGCGCCCGAGGAUGGGACUGCGGCCUAUCAGGCUGUUGGUGGUGUGACGGACCACCAAACCUACGACGGGUACGGGCGAUGGGAGUCGGAGCCUGGAGAUGGGGACUGAGACAAGGCCCCAGGCCCUACGGGGCGCAGCAGGCGCGAAAACUCCGCAAUGCGCGCAAGCGUGACGGGGGAACCCCAAGUGCCGUUGGCUUUUGAUCGACGGCUUUUCGGAAGUCCAAUAAGCUUCCGGAAUAAGGGCUGGGUAAGACUGGUGCCAGCCGCCGCGGUAACACCAGCAGCCCAAGUGGUGGCCGCGAUAUUGGGCCUAAAGCGCUCGUAGCCGGAUCAGCAAGUCCUUUGUGAAAUCGGACCGCCCAACGGUUCGGCGUGCAAAGGAUACUGUUGGUCUUGAGACCGGGAGAGGUCGGAGGUACUCUUGGGGUAGCGGUGAAAUGCUGUAAUCCUGGGGGGACCACCAGUGGCGAAGGCGUCCGACCAGAACGGAUCUGACGGUGAGGGCCGAAGGCUAGGGGAGCGAACGGGAUUAGAUACCCCGGUAGUCCUAGCUGUAAAGCAUGCGGGCCAGGUGUCUAGCGCUCCUUGAGGGCGCUAUGUGCCGGAGGGAAGCCGUUAAGCCCGCCGCCUGGGAAGUACGGCCGCAAGGCUGAAACUUAAAGAAAUUGGCGGGGGAGCACCACAAGGGGUGGAACCUGCGGUUCA
rnacentral:rRNA from 1 species